GCACAUCAAAAGCUUUCUAAUCAACCCCUGGAUGUGCCGCUUGGCGAGGAAGGAGACGCUGCAGGCCUCGCCCUUGGCGCCCAGCACGGCCACCGCCAUGAGCGCGGCCUUCCCCUGCCCCUUCACAACGGGGAGAAGGAAAACCAAAACAAGUGUGGUGAGCAAAAAGAACCAAAGAACCACAAGUGAAGAGACAACAAGAGGAAUGGAGCUGGGAGAAAAUCACCAUACUUUUGUAAGUAGAUGGCCACGUUGCCUGCUAAAGUAUUUCCUCCAAGUCCAGAAACACUCAGGUGACAUUGCCAUUGCCUCUUUUGCACACCCAACUGCUAGCACGUCCUGUUGUUUUAAGCAUCUGUGGUGGCCUUGGCAAUUUUGGUUUGUGGUUUUGCUGUUACCUUCCUGCUAUGGCUAAUUAUUGCUAUUAUUAUUAUCGGCUGAAGUCUUCCAGGCGUGGUGGUGGAAGCCGACUGAUUAUGGGCAAGCGAUCUGGGCUGCUGCUGUUCCCAGUGUAAGGUGUAGUGGUGAGGAGAUGUGAGAUGCUUUUGGAUCUUUUCUUGUGGUGGUCAGAUAGCAAGGCUUUCAACAACUUCAGUUCCAGCUGGGUCAUUGGGAUUCUGAACUAUGUACUUCAGCACAGCUCAUGGAUUUUAAACCUGUCACAUUGUACUGUUAUUAUAGAUAUGGUCCUGCACUUGCAAGCUGUUUUCUUGAUCUUUUGCCAGCAAGGCUUUUGUAGCAGUCCUUGGAAGAUAUACUGUAGCAGUUCCCUUUUAUAAUAUCUAUCAUUAACACCUCGUUGGCAUCUGUAAGAGUUUCUUCUUUGCUGGUGAUUGGAGCAGUUGAUUAAGCAGCCUUUUGCUGUCCACGGGCAAUUUCUCAGAUUUCCACCUUGUUUCAGAUCCACCUUUUCUAGCAAAGGUCCUGGAGAAAGGUUGUGGCAGGGCAACUACAGCCCUUACCUUCAUGGUAAUAAUAAACUGUUUGAAAAAUUUCA
rnacentral:lncRNA from 1 species